rfam:Ochotona princeps cont2.196144, whole genome shotgun sequence.
UGUGGGCCUAAAAGCCUACAUCUACCUAUUGGCUGACAUGCAUUUAGUAUACCGUUCAAGGUAAAUCAAGGAUUGUCCAACUUAGGCAGAAUGAAUUAUAUGUUACAGCCAGUAUCUAAACUCCAGAUCAGAAUGCCUAAGACCAUGUUUAUGGAUAUUUGUGUGCAUAAAACAGCCCUGCCAG